rnacentral:rRNA from 1 species
AGCGAACGCUGGCGGCAGGCCUAACACAUGCAAGUCGAACGGGCUCUUCGGAGCUAGUGGCGGACGGGUGAGUAACACGUGGGAACGUGCCUUUAGGUUCGGAAUAAGCCCGGGAAACUGGGUCUAAUACCGAAUGUGCCCUUCGGGGGAAAGAUUUAUCGCCUUUAGAGCGGCCCGCGUCGGAUUAGCUAGUCGGUGAGGUAAUGGCUCACCAAGGCGACGAUCAGUAGCUGGUCUGAGAGGAUGACCAGCCACAUUGGGACUGGGCCACGGCCCAAACUCCUACAGGAGGCAGCAGUGGGGAAUCUUGCGCAAUGGGCGAAAGCCUGACGCAGCCAUGCCGCGUGGAUGAUGAAGGUCUUAGGAUUGUAAAAUCCUUUCACCGGUGAAGAUAAUGACUGUAGCCGGAGAAGAAGCCCCGGCUAACUUCGCGCCAGCCGCCGCAGUAA